UAAGGAAUAUUGCUCAAUGGGAGAAAUCCUGAAGCAGCAACGCCGCGUGGAGGAUGAAGGGUCUAUGACUUGUAAACUCCUGUAAAGAAGGAAAAAAUUCCCAUUUGAUGGGAGAUGAUGGUACUUCUGGAGUAAGCCCCGGCUAACUACGUGCCAGCAGCCGCGGUAAUACGUAGGGGGCAAGCGUUGUCCGGAUUUACUGGGUGUAAAGGGUGCUCAGGCGGAUUUGUAAGUCAGAGGUGAAAUCUUACAGCUUAACUGUGAAACUGCCUCUGAUACUGCAAGCCUAGAGUAUGGAAGAGAGUGAUGGAAUAUCUGGUGUAGCAGUGAAAUGCGUAGAUAUCAGAUAGAACACCAAUGGCGAAGGCAGUCACUUGGUCCAUUACUGACGCUAAAGCACGAAAGCGUGGGUAGCAAACA
rnacentral:rRNA from 1 species